CUUUGAGAGCCAUCAGAUGCCUGCAGCUAAUCUCGCUUUCAGGAGAGGCAGCGAGGAGGAACUGCGCCGAUUUAUUCCCUUCGACCGAGCCUGAGCUCACCCGCCGUUGUCUCUGCGACGUAUUGCAACGUGCCCAACCCCUCCUUCAGCCAGCGGCGCUGGCAGGAGUACCUGCUGCUCUCCAAACGUCACCCGGCUCCGGUUAUAAAACACGGUGAUAUACCAUCUCCCCGGCUCCAUCUCUCCGAGAAGCGCAUCUUCAAGAAGCGAGCUGUACACGGGUGGAAAGAUGUUUUGUUCGGGUAUCCUGACAGAGCCCAGUAGGAAAGAAGUGGAGAUAAGGGAAGCAGCAUCUCUCCGGCAGCAGAGGAGGAUGAAGCAGGCGGUUCAGUUUAUUCACAAAGAUUCUGCAGAUCUCCUCCCUCUGGAUGGGCUGAAGAAGCUGGGGACUUCGAAAGAUACUCAACCACAUAAUAUCCUGCAGAAGCGCCUGAUGGAGACAAAUUUAUCAAAAUUACGAAGCAGCCGAGGCGGGUGGACCCCUAAGAGUGAUAUCUCAGCACAGACCAACAAACUGAAUCAAACCAAACUGGGCAGCUCAGGGAAAACAGAGGAUGAGGAGCUCAUAAUGGUGAGCUGCCAGUGUGCGGGGCAGGAGCUGAAGGCUGUAGUGGACACUGGCUCACAGCACAACCUCAUGUCAUCUGCCUGCCUGGACAGACUUGGGUUAAAGGAGCACCUCAAAGCACUCCCUGGUGAUGAGGAGGUGGUUUCACUGCUGAACAAGGUGAGGGCAAUCGGCCAGAUCGAGCACCUCACCCUCACGCUGGGAGCCAUCCCUGUGGAGUGCGCUGCCCUCGUCGUGGAAGACAAUGAGAAACCCUUUUCCUUUGGGCUGCAGACACUUAAAUCUCUGAAGUGUGUCAUAAACAUGGAGAAGCACCACCUUGUUCUGGGGAAGACAGAAAGGGAAGAAAUCCCAUUUGUGGGCAGUGGCAGCACUGUGGAAGGAGAGCAGUAAGUUAUUGGCUGGGGGAGAGCUGCAUGUGCACCGCAGAGCCUGACGGCAGUGUCCCCAGCAUGGCCAUGGGGGAGCCCCCAGACCCUCGCUGCAGGCAGGCAAGAGCUCAUUGUUUUCAUCAGUGAAUUGAGUUUUGAAACAGAGUUCCAGGCUUUUUCAGCGGCCUUUUUCAGCUUUUGCUGCCUUUUUUUUCCCCCCAGUAAGCAUUGUACAGCAAAGGGGGUGUCUUAACAUGUGCUUUUUGGAGGUCACUGGAAAGACUACUUGAGCUCUGCUUUGAGAGUGUUCCCAAAUAAACCUUUUUCUGGAAAAAGUUUGUGAAGGUGAGUAAGCCCACAUGAAUCUUUUGCAAAGUGCAGGAGAGAGAAAUCCUGCCUGGAGAUAACAGUGUUGCCUCUUCUCCCCACUUGCCUCAGCUGCCCUCCUGCCAGCUGCUCAUGAUGACCCUGACUUUUUCAGCCUUAUUUCUAUACAGAAAGAGAAAUCUGUGCUGUCCACUCUGGUACCUCCUUAAUGUGUGUAGCUUGUGACAGCUGGCUCUGCAAGCAGCAGGUAAGGCAAUCCAGGCACUGCAUGGGGCUCCUCCUUGCUGAGCACUGUGAAGAAGAGACAUCUCACUGCCUCCUGCCUCUGACUUAGGAAACUCACAGGCAUCAGGUGCCUGAGAGGAGGAUUUGCACCUGUGUGCCUCUCUGGCUUCACAGGCAUCACUUGUCGUUGCUCAGCAAUGAGUGCUGCAGACACAGCCAUCUAAAAAAUGUUUGCUCACUGCAUAAGAAAGCUUCUUCGGUGAAUGAUGUAGGGCAGCACUUUUAGCUGCCUGUAAUGACCAGCCACAGUCAUUUUGGAUGUCCUGCAGUCCCUGUGCAGCUCAAGCCUGCUGUGCUGGGCACUGCUGAGCUUGAGGAGCCCAGGUGGGAGCGGGGAAGGAGCAGACCUUCCCCAGCUAAUGGUAUCUAUGUUCCUUGGGGAGUACAUGGCAGGUGUACACAGUAGCGCCGGGAGUCAGGACAAGAGGGCAUGUGCACCCCUCAUGUGCCCCGGACAUCCACCCACUGUGUGUCCAGGGCAGCUCUGUGGCCACGGAUGCUUCCAGCACACGAGCCCAGGGAGUGCCUGGUACAGCACCACAGGAGUUCAGAGGCAUAAAGAGAAACUGAAGCACCGUCCCCACACAAGAGCUUGACAUCAAACAAAUCCUGUGCAGCUGCUCCAGAUGAAACAGCAGCACCACUGCUUUGAAAACAUUUAUACUAGGCUACAGCUUGAGUAGAGCUGAAUUAAAUCCUGUUCAGUAGCCAGUAAUUUAGAGAUAUUGUCAUAUUUAUCUAUGGGUUUUGAGAAACAAAUGUGUGCUUAUUUUCUGGACUUUUCUAUAUAGUGUCCUCUUUAUUAUGAAAGGUUGGGAAGACCUUAUGUAUUUCUUCUGAUGAGAAAAAUACUUUUUUAUAGUGGCCUCGUAUGAGUAAUUGUAUUUAGCUGUGAUUAGAGGCUAUCAGAAUUAAAUUUUUAUUAAUGAUUUUUUCAGAGGCUAAGCAUUUAUACUCCCUUAAUUGAUAUUGCCACAUUCAAAUGGCCAUUACCAGGAAGUUACUCAGAGUAAAAUAACAAUGCUAAUACCACCUAAGAAUUAUAGCUCAUCCUGUUAGCAUAAUAUUGUUGCCAUGUAAUUAGGGAUGCAACUGCUGGCUUGAUGAGAAAGAGCAAUUACAGAAUUAUUCAUGGGUUAUAGGCUUCUCUGCAGUGGCGUGGCAGAAGCACAGAAAGAGGGCUUGGGAGGGCUCCUGGGGUGAUCUCCCGCAGCCCCGGCUCAGUGCGGGGUCAACACCAGCAGCCCGCCAUGGUGCUGCCUCCCUGGGGCUUGAAACUCCCUGAGGAGGGAUCCUCCAGGCAGGUCUCAGCUGCCUUCCUAGCAGGAGCAGUCAGGAAAAGUAAUCAUUGUAUUGAGCCAAAAAGCAACAAACAAGCACAAAAGUACAUUGUCCAAAAGGCAGCAGAUAUAGAGCCUCAUUGAUGUAUCAGGAACCAAACUGCCCCAAUGUGCCCCCGGUUCUCCAUUGCGCCAGGACAGGUGCCUCUGCCUGGGGCACCAGCAGCACCUAUGCUCUCACUCAUGCGAGUUACUGACUCCAGCUGGACUUCGGUGUUGCUGCCAGAAAUGCCAUAUUCUAUCUAUAUGUAUUUACAAAUUGAUUGGGAUCUUAGGCACAACACUGACCUUGAUCACCCUCAGGGCAGGUGGGAGUUUUCACCAGGACGAUCAUUUCAUGGGAAUUAACUACUGUCAUCUGCUGAAGAGGCAUCUUUAAAAUGCAGAAUAACACCCUUGUGAUGUUCUGCAUCUGCUGAUGGCUAGUCCCGCUGCAGACAGCUCUGCAAGGGCCGGUUAUGUAUGUGGGGAGCAGGACUGCUGCUUUGGCAGCUCUUGCUUGGAAAAAACCCUUUCUCCCCAGGCAGGCACAGGCUGCAGCACAGCUCAGCCAGGCUGGGGGUUCUCCCAUGGGGGUCCAAGUGGCUGCUCGUGUGCUUGAGCCUCCCUGCAGACAUUGAUGUGCUGCUCACCCCUGCAUCCCACUGCGCUGAGCAUCACCUGCAAGCAACGGCAUUCUUGCUGGCAAUUCCACUUAGGAAAUGUCUCAACAGUCCUGGGCAAGGACCAGUCACUCUUGCCACUUCGUGGCCAUCGGCUCAGGUCUGGAGCCUGUCCUGUCAGUCUGUGCCCAGUAAUGCCAUGGCAUCGAAGCUGGAUAUUUAUCUCCUGCAGUGGGUGGAAACAUCUUUUCAAUAUUGGGUAUGACUAGCAAGUCUGAAUUACCUGUAUUUUGAGCUAUUUUCUAUUUUGGUGAUAAGUUUCAGUGCUUUAUCUACAUACAGUUUUUAUAUAAGACAGCUAUAUAUAUAUUGAUAUUUAUAGGGUUGGGCUGCCCACGUCAGUCUCACCAGUGUGUUGUAGAAAUAUUUCACUAAAUAUGGAAUAUAUUUGAUUAUUUUGUAUGCUAUGAGUUUGGUAUUUUGGUACUUCAUUCUUUCUGUGCUCAUUUCUGUGUUAAAUGUCAAAUUAAAUAUAAAUAAAGUUUAAUUGUUAUUGCUGUUUA